CCUCCGCCGGGAGGCUGGGACUUGUAGUGCUGUGUACGGCGAACUACAGCUCCCACAAUGCCCGACAGUGCCCGGAGCAACUUGUUGCAUCGUUGUGUUGAAACAGCUGAAAUCCAAGACCCAUGAAAGUAAAACUUCACCAACACAGUGGUGAAACCAAGUGGAAGAUGGAGAAUUUCCCAGACAAACUCUCUUUCUGGUUGGCAGCAGCACUCCAAGCCUGUCACAUCCCUGCAAUUUACAUUCCUGUGACCUAAUUUUUUUAUCCUGCAAACUCCAGUUCAGUGACAUCUCCUCAGAAUAACACCUGCCUCCCUGCUUGUCUCUGGUUUGAUCUGUCAGGUGAAGAAUUACUCGGUUUUAUUCUGCUUGUGAGAAGGCAUCAGCAGGGGUGCCGGGGUAACUGUGGCCCAGGAGGCUGGAAACAGCUGAAUGCAGAGACCCCUUGUGUGUUGAUGUUCCUCUUUAGUGAACCUUGAUUGACCAGGGCAAUGCUAGGAGGCUAAAAAAGUGCCAGGCUGGUGCCUGUCUUCAGGAAAGGAGGCUGCAUGAUAUGGAGGAAAUGCAGAUUUGAUAACAUCGGAUCUAUGGAUAAUGUUCUGGAUAAAUACCAAAAAAGGGUGUUAUGUCACUCAUUAAAGAAUUAGUAAUGCCAGUCAGAGGCCUAAUAGAAUUCUCAUUUAAUGCUUCUAAAAGACAACAAAUAAUUCAAUUUCUUCUGAAAGGAAAGAAAGCUGUAAUAAACUUUUAAAAGCAUUUUUACUUAGAACUGCACAAUAUUUUAAUUGAACAGGGUAAUAAAGCAUCAGUGAAGAAUACAUUAAACACUGGUCACAGAGAUUAUUUUUUUAUAAGUGGUUAUAAAUCACUGUUGAAUAAGGCUGCUUCUAAUAGGACCCUCCAGGAUCAUAUGUGCUACACACAUAUGUAAUCAAUAUUUUCAUUAGCCAUUUGGAAAUAAAUACAAAAUCAGCCCUAAUCCAAUUUGCAGAUGACAUCCUCAUCAGUCGGGUGGUACCACCAGGAUGACAAAGGACUGUCCGUCAAAAUAUGGUAAACUGGGUCUGGAAAAAAACUGGGGGAACACUAACUCUGAAGGGGGCAAUUAUAUAUCAUUUAUAUCAAGUAUACCAUAGACAGAGGCUCACAGAAUGACUCAGGCUGGAAGGGACCUCAAAGAUCAUCUCGUUCCACCCCCUGCCAUGGGCAGGGACACCUUCCACUAGACCAGGUUCCUCUGAGCCCCAUCCAGCCUGGCCUGGACCACUUCCAGGGACGGGGCAUUCACAAUUUCCGAGGACAGAUCCGUGAACACAUGGAGGGAACACGAGUUUAAGGUACCACAGGGGCUUUCUGGGGUUGCUAUGACACCGGGCUAAAGUGCUGGGGCUGCCGCUCAUGGGGCUGUGUGUGCUGGGGUGGGGGAGCACAGAAAGCCGCACAAAGGUGGGGUCACCUGGGGCGAGGUCACCUGGGGUCAGCACAGGGCCGAUUUCGCUAUCGGGGGUAGGGUUACCUGUACCGCCCAGAACAGCCGGGGAGGGGCACCACCGAAUGACAGAAUCAAUUCGGCUGGACAAGACCUCUGAGCUGACCGAGUCCCACGUCUGUCCGGACAGCCCCACGACCCU